rnacentral:misc_RNA from 1 species
GCGGAAGGCGAAAGUAUCUGGAGAGCAGAGAUGCUAAGAGAAGGAUAUGAGAAGCCAAGCGAAAGCACACAAAGAAACUUUGUUUAGUUUUGAGGGCAAUAAGCACUCAAGAGUUAGGACAUUGAAACUGAUAUAAUCAAGCAAAACCGAGCAAUCAAAGAACAGAUUGAAAAAAAGAGCGACCGAGAAGAGAGAAGCUGAACUUGAAUAGGUCAAGUAG